CCGCCCCCCUCCCCGGGGGGGUGGCCAGCGCCCGCCAGAGGACCAUCAAACUCCAGUCAGUAACCGAUGCAGUCUGAAAAACAUUUAAUAAACUAAAACUUUCAACAACGGAUCUCUUGGUUCUGGCAUCGAUGAAGAACGCAGCGAAAUGCGAUAAGUAAUGUGAAUUGCAGAAUUCAGUGAAUCAUCGAAUCUUUGAACGCACAUUGCGCCCUUUGGUAUUCCGAAGGGCAUGCCUGUUCGAGCGUCAUUACAACCCUCAAGCUCUGCUUGGUAUUGGGCACCGUCCUUUGCGGGCGCGCCUCAAAGACCUCGGCGGUGGCGUCUUGCCUCAAGCGUAGUAGAACAUACAUCUCGCUUCGGAGCGCAGGGCGUCGCCCGCCGGACGAACCUUCUGAACUUUUCUCAAGGUUGACCUCGGAUCAGGUAGGGAUACCCGCUGAACUUAAGCAUAUCU
rnacentral:rRNA from 1 species